GAUCUCCCUGCUUGAAGGAGGGGAAGACCCUUGGAUCCCCGAUGUGUGUAGCGCUGAGGCCGUUCCAGGAGACCUCAGCCCAGUAGGUAUUAGGAUUGCAGAUAUAUUGGAGGAUCUGCAGGACAGUGGUGUGGUCAAGUGGCAGUGGAGUGGCAUCUCUGUGGAAGAAAUCAGAAGAGAUGUCCAAGGAGGCCUGGAGCAAGGUCAGGGUGAGCACAUCAAGAAGGCAAUGGGAAAGCAUCUGGGAAAGACAUCAAGGAACCCACUGGACUUGGGUGUAGGUCAAAAUCAGCCUGAAGACUGCAGAAGCAUGGGUGUGUGGAAAAAGAAGAAUCAGUGCGCUGAGUGUGGGAAAAGCUUUAGUA